GCUUACGGCCAUACCUUCUCUGGCUCCGCCUGAUCUCGUCUGAUCUCAGAAGCUAAGCAGAGUAGGGCCUGGUUAGUACUUGGAUGGAAGACCGCCUGGGAAUCCCAGGUGCCGUAAGCU
ensembl:rRNA 5S_rRNA 5S ribosomal RNA